AUGAUAAAUUACGAUGAUAUAUAUAUAUAUAUAUAUAUAUAUAUAUUGUUCGUUCGCUCGUAUCGAGAAUUAAAGGACUCGUGAAGGAGAGUAGGAAACGGAGAGAUACAAAAAUAUCUGUGAAAUAGCUUCGAGGUGCCGUUGUGUACAAUCGUGCGAUAAAUGGAUUGUUUCUUCAUAAUAGUACUACGCGAGAACAUGAAAAUAUAUUAUCGUAUCUGUUCUAUGUUUCGCGCAAGGGAGAAAAUUUCAUUUCAUCUUUUCUGCACACGGGCAUUGUUACUGAAUAUACAAUAUUGCUAUACGAUGACAAGGGAUAAUGAUUUUCUCGAUUAGUCAUAUGCCAUGCAUUUCGUACAACUCAUGCUCCUAUAUGCAAGUCAAUAAAGAAAUCAUAUCAUAUUAGAAAGAAAUCGCACAUAUUAGAAAGACGUUACUCUUGUUUUAUUGUUUCGCACAUGGAAACAUUUCGAAUUAAUCUGCGAAUGUUAUCGCUCCGAUUGAAUAUUGUCACGUUUAGAAAAGAAUAUUUGAUAAAUGGAUUCAUCAGAUUAGAAGAUAAUUGAUUUAUGAAUUAUGAAAAACUGAUUACAUUAUAUAUAAUUAAUAUCUUUUUGUGUGUACGGAGUACACACGGGUUAUCUCGCCUAUCGAGAAAAAACAUAGAAAUGACAGAAAUUUAAAUCGAAAAUUACACAGAUAGGAUAAACUUUCUUGCAUUUACUUGUCAAAAUAUUGAUAAAGAAACUAUCGAAAAGCAUGAUAAAUUAAAUGAAGAAAUUGUUAUCCCAGGGCCGUACCGUUUUAAUCAAUUCAUAGGCCGGUAGUUCUACACGGUUGGGGAUCAUUAACGAUCGUUUUCCCCUCGUGAAAACGCAAACCUUGAUGCAGUCUCGUUGUAAGUAACUAGUCGAUGCCUGAUUUCUCGAUUUUGCGAUUGCGAAAUAUUGCGCGAGCAUAAUGUAAUCUAUUCGUUGGUCAAAAGUCGAAGACGAAACACACUCGCAAAAGACACUCUUGCGAUUCCUUUUUUCCUUUCUUCUUCCUUCCUUUCUUUUUUUUUUUUUUUCUUUUCGUCAAAUUUAUCGAUUAUCGAUUAUCUUUCUAAUGUUUUUUUAAAAAUUUAUCCGUACAAAGCGAGUUUUGCUCGUUUCUAUAUGCAAAUCAGUUAAAAAGUUACGGAUCGAUAAUCGCAUUGCCGCUCCAAAAUAAUGGCUGCAACUAAAGUAAGAGUGGCUGGAAUAACAUGGUAGAAAGAAGGUGAAACUUGAACUUUGCUUCGCGGCAAUCACGAACCGCGACUUUUUCUCUCCAAGAAAAAAAAAAAAAA